UUGUAUUUUUCCUCCUAGAUCACCUGAUACUUCCAAGCAAGCAGGUGUUCUUUUCAGAAGCCAGAAGCUGAUAACCUGGGCUUUCUGAUCUAACCCCAGCCCAAAUUCAUUGCAAUGGAGGAAUUGGGGAGGAGAUUCUUCCUACUGAGAAGUGGGUGCCAACUCUCCCUUUCAAAUUUGUUCAUCAACAAACUAAAGGGGAUGCCAGAAAUGUCUGGAGCAAUGGAAGAACCACUGGAAUAAUGCUCCUGCCUGAUUGUAUCUACUUAACCCACUCUCCAAGAGCCAGAAUCAGAUUUCAACCGUAUGGAAUCAUCUACAAUGCAGCAGAUGGGUUUACAAGUCUCUUGGUCUCUUCAUGUAAUUAACAGCCAAGAAGUCUAAAGCUUGCAUUGUUUACGUGGAAGAUGUUUCUUGCCCAUUCCCAUGCCAUGCCAUCUGAAAUCGCUCCUUUUUUUAUUUUUUCUGUGCAGUUUUUUUAACUUUGUGGGAUCCUCUGCAUAUAAAACUCCAUUCAACUACUUCAUCCUACUGUAGAAAGCUAC
rnacentral:lncRNA from 1 species